UGUUGUUAUUGAUGAAAGGAAAAUUUGAGAUCAUACUGUUCUCUUAUGUAUGAUUAUUGAAAUGUAUUUGUGUAUAAGUCUCAUUUUGGAACAAGAAAUCUAUGCUUUAAAACUCCCACCGGAGAACAGGUGCAAUUUUAAAAUGUUGGGAUCCCAUUUAUUAACUCGGUUGAGAACAGAAAAGAAGAUUCAAUAUUUGAGAUCUUUUCCUAUAGUCUAUUUGAAUGUUUGUUUGCUUUUUUUAAUUUCUCUUUCAUUUUCUUAGAUUGUUCAGUCUAUUUCAAUCCUACUGGAGUCGCUGGUUUGGUUUCUUCAGAUUGCGUUCGACCACUAUGUUUGGCUUAUAGAUUUACAGGUCAUUUGCAUCUCUGUUCUUUGUACGAGCUUUUUUUUGUGAAUUUAAAAAGCAUUUGGAACUCCUUUAUUACUUUGAGUGGGAGAGGGUUUCUUGGGUGCUUACAAUUGUUCAACGUUGAACUUCUGACAUGAAAAGAUAUCGUUUAAGCUGUGCUAUUUCUCUAUGCUGGAAGCUGGUUUUUAUUGCAUUUUGGCUAGCCAUCGAAGCAAAAGAAAAAUUUCUUUGACAUCGUAGGCCGGAGAAUAUAUUUGACUAAUGGAAGUUAACAAUAAUCAAAGAAGGUUGCAUGCAUGUCAAUGAUGUCAUAGCAUUUGAAGUGGUGUAUUCAGUUGGUUGUCAGGCCAACAGUGAAUAGAUGAUAGUUGCUUGUCCUCUGCUAUUGUUAUUUGGGUAUUUUUCUGAAGUUAGCUAGCAUUUUUUGAAGAUUUUUGUAUGUCAGUUGACACAUUUUUGAAUCAUCUUCGUAUCUGAAGUUGUAAUACCUCGGGUGAUUCUCCGAGAGUUUGUUGGAUGAUUUAUAGAUCAUGACUAUCUUAUCUACUCUUGUUGGCUGGGCAAUUCCAGAUCUGGUAAGAGUGAUUUACAAAUUCAUAUUUUCCAAGGGACCUGAUGCUGUAAACUCUGAUGCUCGGACUCUUGGAAAUAGUCGGAGUACCCGUGUCGAACACGACACGACAUGGGUAUGGGUAUGAGAUAUGGGUCAGAUCCUCCAAAUUUCAACCGGACGCUUCGUCGUUUUCACUUCUUCUUUCUUUUUCCUUUUUUUCUCUUUUCGUUUACUUUCCCUUUUCUUCUUUCCUGUUUUCGCUCUCUAGAAACUUAACGUCGCCGUCGAGAGGGUGGAGAAUGACGGCAGCUCUAGGUUUUCCUUCUUUUUCUUCUUCUUUCUUUUUUCUUUCAUUUCUUCUUUUUUCCUUCUCUCUUUAUAACGGUGGUUUAGGGUUUCGUUUGUAUAAAAUUAAAAUGGGUUCCAUAUAAUGCUACUUAGUGCUCCACUAAGUCCAAAUUGUAAUUAAAUCUCUAAUUUUCUAUUUAUAUUACAUUUAGUAAUUCCCAUGAUUAAAAACUAAACCUCAAAAUUCUAUUUUAUUUAUCAUAAUCUCUUAUUCAAUACCCAUUUCUUUCUUUGUUAAUAAUUUAUUUUGGUCUAUUCAAAAUGACAUUUUGGAUUAGUAAAAAAAUUGAAGUUUAAAAGACAUCUACGUACCCGUGUUCGAAAUUUGGACUCUUUUUAGCCAUAUUCCCGUAUUCUACAUUUUAACAAAUAAAAUAUCUGACACUUAGAUACAUACCCGUAUCCGAGUCCGAGCAUUAUAGGCUGUAAAGAUAUUAGAUACAUUUGCUCAAUUUAAUCCAGAUGUUAUACCACCUGAUAUUUGACAAACUUUAACUGUUUAAAUAUUUUUUUCUUGUAAGGUGCAAUAAAAGAGCUCUUGAUAAUAGUAUUAAAAAUGAUUUCCCUCCGUCCCCUCUUCCGUCACUUUAAGCCAUGUAUUUGCUUUUCAGUGGCCCAUUGAAUCCAUUUAUUAAAUUGUUAAUUCUUGUAUUUCCAGUUCAUCCUAUGCUUCCAUUACACCAGUAGUUCUCAAGUCAUUAUAAAUGCUGAUGCUAUUUGAAUGUUCAGCCAAGCUUUUUUGUCCUGCGCGUUUACAUCGUCAAAUGUGGUUGCUUUUUAGGAUUGGACAAAGAUCAACAGGAUACUGAGAGAAAUAUAUAUUUAUAUCUAUAUUUCUUUCGGACACAAAAUCUCCAUUCUUCUUUGCAUGAUAGUUAUUAUCAGUUGUCAUAGUUUUAUGAUUUGCUCACUGGUGUACGGCAAUUUUAAAUUAUAUAGCUCUCCUGUAAGUGGACUCGUCUUGGUAUUCGUCAAAUAUCUAUUCUUUUUUAAAUGUGUUCUUGAUAGAGAGAACUAAUGCAGGGAAGGAGAAACCUUCUAUAAAUUGGGAGACUCGGAUGCAAAUUACUCUAGGUUCUGCAAAUGGAUUGACAUAUCUGCAUGACACGAGUGGGUUUUUCCACGCACAGUUCUCUUUACCAUAUUUUUCUUUGAUUAAUUGAGUAGGGUUGUAAUCACUUAAAUUUUGAAGUAUAUCAAUACUUGCAGGUCAACGAUUAUACACUGUUAUAUGAAAUUUGCUAACAUUCUUCUUGACCACAAAUUUGAAGCCAAGGUAUGAGUAUAUGUAUUAUAUUUCUUCGAAAAUAAAGAAGUUACCUCUUAAAUUUAUUCUUUUUGCGAUUUACAUGUCCUAUAAUACUAUACUAUAAAACAUUGCACUCUGCCAAAGGAUUUUUUUUCAUUAGUACAAGAAUUGUGUAAUAUUUCCUAAUGAGAAGCACUCUUAGUUAAGCACAUACCUUAUUCCCAAUCUAUUGAGUUCGACUCAUAAAUCCUUUUACCCCACUACGGUUUCCGUCUUUCAUCAAAAGAUCCAAUAAAUCAAACUAUUUGCAAACACAUUAGCUCUUAUAAAUUCCUCUUCCUCUUCCUAUUCCUCCUCCUGUUUGUAUCAUAUCAUUAUUAUUUAAAUGAAAGACAUUGUUUAGAUGAAUGCAUUUAAUAUCUGCCUGACACGUUAUCACUUAUUUUGGGUGUCAUUCUGGUUAUAUGGUAUUAGUCAAUCCAUAAAAUCUCUUAUGCCAAACCUCUAUUCAAGGCAGGAAAGACAAAUUGCUCCACUUUCCUUCGGCUUUAUAAGAAAAAAUAGUUAGGUUUUGUUUCUUUGCUUCAUUCUGAGAAGUAGAAUAUGAGAAACAACUCAAAUAAACACACAUUUUUCUAAUUAUAGACAAAAUAAGAUGUUUAGGAUUUUGAUACCUUCAUUGAAGUAUGUGCAGUGAAAAUGGCUGCAAAGAUUUUACAUUCUUUCACCAGAGAUAAUUCAGAAUUGCAAAAGCAAAUAGGAUAUAUGACAAGCAUCUUUCGAUUGUUCGAUCGGCAGUCUGUUCUUAUUGGGAGGCGCAUCUUUGGCCACAACUCAAAGGGGCUGUUGAUAGGCCCAGUUAAAUAUACUUAUUCUAGAAGGGUCAAGAAGAUUGGAAAAGGGCAGGGGCUGCAACAAACAACUAUGACAAUGUAGUUACUUGUAGUUUGGUGGUUUACUUUAAAACUGACUUUAGUGGAUGCUUCAUUUAUUUAAAGGAAUAAGAGUGGUGAAUUUGAGCUUUUCACUUAUUAUUUACUUCAGUACUUUCAUUUUGCAAAUUGAAGGGUUGUAUAUUGGAUGAAUGGUGAAUUUGAUACUGUAUAAAUCUAUUUUGCAGGCAUGUUAGC
rnacentral:lncRNA from 1 species